AGAAAUUUAGUUUAUAAAAACAUUAACUUGUCAAGUUAAAAUUACUUUAUAUUAAAAGUAAUUUCUA
rnacentral:tRNA from 1 species